CUCUGCCAUGUCCCAGAAUUCAUUCCCACCACUCACAGCUCCAGCAGUAGAUGAGACCUCACAAGUGGUUUCAGAUCAGGUGGCAUCCACAUCCUCUGCCAUAUCCAUGAAUUCAUUCCCACCACUCUCAAUUGCUCCGGUACAAGAUGAGACCGCGGCUGUGGCUGAGAGUACCCAAGCUCAAAGUGUGGUUGCGAAUCAGGCUCUUCAAGAAUGGCGAGCAAUACGUGCCCAGCAAGACCAGGAGUAUAAUACAAGUUUGUUGGUGGAUCAGGAGAAGGUAAUGCUUCCAAGUUUUAUGUAUGAUUUACAUUCUCUUAUAUAAUGCAUACGUACUUUUAAUGUGGUCUUUUAAUAGGACAGGAAGAAACUAGUCUAUCAGGCUUGUGAGGAAAGACGUCAAAAGGCUAUUGAGGCUAGACGUCAACGAAUGUCUGCAUGUGAGGAACCCUCAGAUGGGGUGUUGAUCAAAUUUAAAUAUCCAAAUGGACACACCUAUAUUAGGAAAUUCCGUUUGUCGGAGCCA